UCCACAUUAAAAGUAAAAAUACUGGUUUUAUAUUGAAUGUUAGGAGAUGUAUGUUAGGGAUUGCACACAGUGGACAUUAAUUGAUUUUUGAGUGUGUUUUCUGUUCGUAUUUUUGGGUAAUUUGAUAGUUUUAUUUCUGUUUGCACGAACUCCAUUAUCUAUUAAUGUGGGCCAUUUUUUCCAUGUGCUCUCUAAAAAAACUGAAAUCAUUUCUCAAAAAGAUGGAGCUGUAUUACCGUGACUCACAAUUCUCUUAUUUCCACUGCUCUGUGUGCAGGGAAAUAAAGUAAAACAUCAUCCACAAUCUGAGUGUGUGUGAGUGCUGUGGAAGAAUGGGGCAAACCGGGCCAGAUUAACCAAAGGUCACAUUGGUGCCGUGACUCAGGACUUCAAUCAAGGUGGUCGAAGAUCAUCCCAACAUCGGACCGGCGGACCUAUCGUCAUUCUUCACUGCACAGGACCUUCAGCUAAGCUUUUAUGGACACUCUGAAGUGGUUUGAUAUUUUAUUGACUCCAGGAUGAUGACGAAGCCUUCAUCCAAAAAUCCACAGAGGAGACCACAGUGGGAAUCUACAUUCUCAAAUUCCGUGACAGAUCAGAUGACAUCGGGAUUGCUCUGAAAUGCCAGAACAUCUUGCAAGGCUUGGACAACUUUGCGUUAGCUAUGGCAAUGCUAAUGGUCUUAUGUAUGCCUUAAAUCUCAACUACCCACCUGAAAUGAACAAUACAUUUGAGGUAGUGCAGAAGAUAGUCUUCUGUUUUUUAAUAACUUGAUACUGUUCGUUUACUUCUGUAAUACAUACAUAAAAAUGAGUUGUACUGUUAAAAGAAAUGCAUGAAUUUGACUUCUUAUGAUUUUAAAAUUGAAAACAAAAAUGUCAAGGUAUGCUUUUGACAACUUGAUAUUGUUCACCUUUUCCUCUACACCUGUUUUUGUCUUAAUGUUUUUGUUGCAGUUACUGUAUGAAUGGUUAUUACUGUUCACCUUUUCCUCAACAUGUUUGACUGUGCAUUGUCUUUUACUUGAAGUGAUGAAUAAAUGAAAUGAGUAAAGU